rnacentral:rRNA from 1 species
UGGGGAAUAUUGCGCAAUGGGGGGAACCCUGACGCAGCCAUGCCGCGUGAAUGAAGAAGGCCUUCGGGUUGUAAAGUUCUUUCGGUAAUGAGGAAGGGAUGUUGUUAAAUAGAUAGCAUCAUUGACGUUAAUUACAGAAGAAGCACCGGCUAACUCCGUGCCAGCAGCCGCGGUAAUACGGAGGGUGCGAGCGUUAAUCGGAAUAACUGGGCGUAAAGGGCACGCAGGCGGACUUUUAAGUGAGAUGUGAAAUCCCCGAGCUUAACUUGGGAACUGCAUUUCAGACUGGGAGUCUAGAGUACUUUAGGGAGGGGUAGAAUUCCACGUGUAGCGGUGAAAUGCGUAGAGAUGUGGAGGAAUACCGAAGGCGAAGGCAGCCCCUUGGGAAUGUACUGACGCUCAUGUGCGAAAGCGUGGGGAGCAAACAGGAUUAGAUACCCUGGUAGUCCACGCUGUAAACGCUGUCGAUUUGGGGAUUGGGCUAUAUGCUUGGUGCCCGAAGCUAACGUGAUAAAUCGACCGCCUGGGGAGUACGGCCGCAAGGUUA